GUUUAUUCAUGUCCAGCUUGACCAAAUAUUCCCUUCCCAUAGUCUACUAACCUAAGUUCAUUCCUUAAUUAUCUUUCUAUACAAACUUAUUUAACUCUCACAUCCAAAACACUUGAUGCUCCUUUGUUCUUUUUAUCAGUUUGACUUUUCCCCCUUAGCCAGCUACUAAUCAAAAAUGUAUUCCAAAAACUUUGGAACUCAUGUAACUCAUGUCUAGUUUGGACAAAUCCCUCAUGCUUUUUGCAAAC